rnacentral:ncRNA from 1 species
GAAGACCAUGUCAGGCUGAAGGUUUGUCUGGGCGAUUCAUCUGAUAAAUAGUAGCCCAGGUGCCCUAUUGUGUCAUCAGUCAGAUCAGAAACUCUUUGCACAGUUGAAAGGGAAUAAAAGUUGCCACAAGGAUAAACUUUUUGGUGCUUGCUAAGUGUUCCUAGUGACAUUGUUUUUUGGCUUUCAAAAUUUCGGCUCUUCCUAUUAUUAUGAAGCCAAACUAAUCAAGCGUGCGGCUGUUCGCCGACUAAUAGGGGGCGUCAGCUUGGUUUAGACCGUCGUCAGCCAGGUUAGUU